CCCUGAGUUUACAAGUUCUGACUGAGCACUUUGGAUUGAGUUAUGCGCAUACACAGACCUGAGAAUCUGAAAUGACUCACGUUUAGCUGUGUGGAUCAUUUCCACGCAAAUACACAACUUUUGAGGAUUUCUCCCCAGAUAACCUUUCUACUGGAAAUCUAGCACAUCGUGGUAUCUGGACCUGCUUGGCCACUCUAGUUGGGUUUGCUCUCAUGGCAACCCUGCUGGAGAUCUUUCCUUUCCCCCCGUUUCUGAUUAAAAUCAGUGAUCAACCAUUAUCAACGUUGAGCUUUAAUGACUUGCCCGAGGCCUCGCAGUAAACCUAGGCCAACUUUCUCCUGCUUCAUCCCCUCUGGGUGUUGUUAGACUCCAGUGCCAAGCAGCCCCAGUCAGACAGCCAAUGGUCAGGGAUAGUGGGAGCGCAGGAGGUUGACCUAGGUAGUCCCUAGCCAAGAACCAUGCUGUUUUCUUAGGUGGUCAAAGAUACAGGCCAUCUUUCUUCCAGAGUUUCUCUUGUUUGCUGCCAUCUAUUGUCC